AAUACCACCCUUUAAUGUUUGAUGUUCUAACGUGGACCCGUGAUCCGGGUUGCGGACAGUGUCUGGUGGGUAGUUUGACUGGGGCGGUCUCCUCCUAAAGAGUAACGGAGGAGCACGAAGGUUGGCUAAUCCUGGUCGGACAUCAGGAGGUUAGUGCAAUGGCAUAAGCCAGCUUGACUGCGAGCGUGACGGCGCGAGCAGGUGCGAAAGCAGGUCAUAGUGAUCCGGUGGUUCUGAAUGGAAGGGCCAUCGCUCAACGGAUAAAAGGUACUCCGGGGAUAACAGGCUGAUACCGCCCAAGAGUUCAUAUCGACGGCGGUGUUUGGCACCUCGAUGUCGGCUCAUCACAUCCUGGGGCUGAAGUAGGUCCCAAGGGUAUGGCUGUUCGCCAUUUAAAGUGGUACGCGAGCUGGGUUUAGAACGUCGUGAGACAGUUCGGUCCCUAUCUGCCGUGGGCGCUGGAGAACUGAGGGGGGCUGCUCCUAGUACGAGAGGACCGGAGUGGACGCAUCACUGGUGUUCGGGUUGUCAUGCCAAUGGCACUGCCCGGUAGCUAAAUGCGGAAGAGAUAAGUGCUGAAAGCAUCUAAGCACGAAACUUGCCCCGAGAUGAGUUCUCCCUGAGACUUUAGGUCUCCUGAAGGAACGUUGAAGACGACGACGUUGAUAGGCCGGGUGUGUAAGCGCAGCGAUGCGUUGAGCUAACCGGUACUAAUGAACCGUGAGGCUUAACCUUACAACGCCGAAG
rnacentral:rRNA from 1 species